rnacentral:rRNA from 1 species
AGAGAGAGACAUGCGCGCAUAUCAAUAAGCGGAGGAAAAGAAACUAACAAGGAUUCCCCUAGUAACGGCGAGUGAAGCGGGAAGAGCUCAAAUUUGAAAUCUUAAAGGGUUUCCCUUUACGAAUUGUAGUUUAAAGAAGUGUUUUCUGUUGAGGUUUUGGUAAAAGUUCUUUGGAAUAGGACAUCAUAGAGGGUGAGAAUCCCGUAUUUGACCUUUACUUUCAACUUUGUGAUACACUUUCAAAGAGUCGGAUUGUUUGGGAAUGCAGUCCAAAAUGGGUGGUAAAUUUCAUCUAAAGCUAAAUAUUGGCGAGAGACCGAUAGCGAACAAGUACCGUGAGGGAAAGAUGAAAAGAACUUUGAAAAGAGAGUUAAACAGUACGUGAAAUUGUCAAAAGGGAAGCGUUUGACACCAGUGUUGUUUUUCUGAAAAUCAAUUAAAGAACUGUUUAUGCUAAGUUGUUUAGACUUUAUCAGCUAACUGUUUAGUUUUGAGCUUUUCUUUAAUGCACUUUUCAGUUAACAAGUCAACAUCAAUUUCUUUUGCUGUAAAAAAGCUUGAGGAAGGUGGCUUGAGAUUCGUCUUAAGUGUUUAUAGCCUCUUGCCUAUGGCAGUCGGAGAGAUUGAGGUCUGCAGCGUAGAUCCUUCGGGGCUAAAUGCAUUUGUGCUAAGUUAUAGCAUUUUAUAGACAACAUUGUUGACUAUGAUUUGUCUUGUAGCUUACUCGCUUAUGUUAUUUUACCUACGCUUAGGAUGUUGACGCAUGAGAUAUACGC